rnacentral:rRNA from 1 species
UACGGGGGGGGCAAGCGUUAUCCGGAGUUACUGGGCGUAAAGGGCGUGUAGGCGGUAGAGUAAGUCUGGCGUGAAAUUUUUCGGCUUAACCGGGAAAGGUCGUCGGAUACUGCUUAACUAGAGGACGGUAGAGGCGUGUGGAAUUCCGGGUGUAGUGGUGAAAUGCGUAGAGAUCCGGAGGAACACCAGUGGCGAAGGCGACACGCUGGGCCGUACCUGACACUGAUGCGCGACAGCAUGGGGAGCAAACAGG